rnacentral:rRNA from 1 species
AACGAACGCUGGCGGCGCGUUUUAAGCAUGCAAGUCGAACGGUAUACACCGCUUUUAGUGGUGUAGAGAGUGGCGAACGGGUGAGUAACACGUAGAUGAUCUACCUUUGGGACGGGGAUAGUCCAUGGAAACAUGGGGUAAUACCGGAUGAGGCCUUGUGGGGUGAUGCCUGUGGGGUGAAAGGCGGCAACUGUCGUGCCUGGAGAUGAGUCUGCGGUCCAUUAGUUAGUUGGUGGGGUAAGAGCCCACCAAGGCGACGAUGGAUAGCCGACCUGAGAGGGUGGACGGCCACACUGGGACUGAGACACGGCCCAGACUCCUACGGGAGGCAGCAGCUAAGAAUCUUCCGCAAUGGGGGAAACCCUGACGGAGCGACGCCGCGUGGACGAAGAAGGCCGGAAGGUUGUAAAGUCCUUUUCUUUGUGAGGAAUGAGGUAGGGAGUGGAAAGCUCUACUGAUGACGGUAACGAAGGAAUAAGCACCGGCUAAUUACGUGCCAGCAGCCGCGGUAAUACGUAAGGUGCGAGCGUUGUUCGGAAUUAUUGGGCGUAAAGGGCGUGUAGGCGGCCUAUUGGGUCUGGUUUGAAAGGCUCCGGCUCAACUGGAGCACUGGGUCAGAAACUGAUAGGCUAGAGUUCAUAGGGAGGAGCUGGAAUUCCUGGUGUAGGGGUGAAAUCUGUAGAUAUCAGGAAGAGCACCGGUAGCGAAGGCGAGCUUCUAUGAAUGGACUGACGCUGAGGCGCGAAAGCGUGGGGAGCGAACAGGAUUAGAUACCCUGGUAGUCCACGCUGUAAACGAUGUGCACUAGGUAUGGGGUGCGAGAAGUGCUCCGUGCCGUAGCAAACGCGAUAAGUGCACCGCCUGGGGAGUAUGCUCGCAAGGGUG